UACGUUCAUCCUCAAAAGGACGGAAGUAGGCAAUAAAGCUGAAGGAACGCACC
ncrna:unclassified sequences Glutamine riboswitch